GGAAGCGCCGGGGGUCUGGUGGCCCUCGCGGACGUCAAAUCCGUUGGCGUCCCGGUUUUGCCGGGAUGGGUGGGUUCGAUUCCCAUGCGCUUCCGCCA
rnacentral:tRNA from 1 species